rfam:Mus musculus chromosome 6, GRC primary reference assembly.
GCGGGGCAUAGUGGCGCACGCCUUUAAUCCCAGCACUUGGGAGGCAGAGGCAGGCAGAUUUCUGAGUUCGAGGCCAGCCUGGUCUACAAGUGAGUCCCAGGACAGCCAGGGCUGUACAGAGAAACCCUGUCUCGAAAAAACAAACAAACAAACAAUUUGUUUCUUCGAGACAGGGUUUCUCUGUGUAGCCCUGGCUGUCCUGGAACUCACUUGUAGACCAGGCUGACCUCGAACUCAGAAAUCUGCCUGCCAA